UAUUAUAUCCUGAGUUUGAGUGGAUCAUGGUCAGGUCCUAAACUUCAUUAAGUAUGAAUCUUUCAACUUCCACAUUUCCUAUACUGUAAAAUUCCGAGAGAAAGUUAGACAGCUUUUCUUUUCUAGCUUCUUUUUUUUCUUCUUUUUUUUUUUCUUUACAGAAUUGCUAAACAAGUUUGCAUUCUUUCUAAAGGAAAGAAGCCAACUAUGCACAUCCUUCUAGGUUCCUGUCUUACUUCUAUAUGGAGCCUGGUAAUUAGCCACUGCUAGAAUCCCUUUGGUGAGGCCUCUAGGAAUUCUUUUUAAACCAUUACUUCUUCAGUUUUCUCUGAUAAGAAAGAUUUCACACUUAAUUAACUCAGUACCAACUUUAACACUUUUUUUUUUUUUUCUGCAGGUCUUUUUUUCUUAAACCCAUGGCAUUUCAGGCCUUAGACACUGUAGAGAUUUCACUCUCUCUUUUUUUUUCUUUUUAAAUUUUCAUUGAGCUUUUUCUUUUCAUUAGUCAGAAUUAUAUGAAUUACCUAGAAAUUGUGUCUUCUAAUAGUGAAGGGAAAUACCAACAAAAUAAAAUCAGUAUAGAAAUAUUUGAUUAUUGGAGGGGGUGUCUUAAAAUUAUAAAAGUCAUUUUCCCUAUAAAAAAUAAAAGGAAUUUUGAAAGAAAUCAUCAAAUUGUGUAAAUAUUAAGUGCUUAAUAACAUUUAGAUUUCUUGUGUCUAAAAUGACAAUAUUUAUUAAAAUAUAUAGGCAACUCAACUUUAAUCUUUGAUGAAGGCACAAUUCAUUCAAAAGACUUGAUAUAUAAAUAAGGUUGUUAGAGAUCAUAUUAUUAGAUUAACUAAAUGUGAAGAUGAUAAUCAUUUGGCUGUGGUAGAGUAAUAAAAUACAUUUUCAAAAUAAACAUUGUUUAUUAUUUAUUUAAGGAAAUAUUUGAAAUUUACACUUAAAUGUAUAUCUUAUAUUUCUAUUAAAUAGCAUUUGAAUUAGAGCACUAAAAGCAAUAAGUAAUAACAAACAUAGCAAUAUUAAAUAUUUAAAAUCUUUAAUUUGUAGACAAUAGGGCCAUUGACAUUACUGUCUGAUGGAAAGCAAAUUGUACAUAUUAUCUUAUGUCUUGAGUUCUAAUGCUUCCUUUGGCUCUGAUUUUGUGCAAGGGACUUAACUGUUUGAAAUUCUAUAUUCCCCUCUACAUACAGUGGUCAGGAAAUGCAUAGUAGUUAAACAGAUUUUAGAUGAAUUUAGCUUAUAAUUAAUAUUAGGAUUAUUUUUGUCUUAUUUUCUUUUAUAUAAACAGCUAAUUCUUUUCAUUUCUUAAUGAUGUUUUGCAGAAAUUUUUGGCUGAAUUUUCAGUAAACUUGAAUUUCAUGAUUAAAUCCACCAUUUGGGUAGGAAAAAACCAUUCUCUAAUAGAAUGGUAACAUGAAAUAAGUAUGCAAAAACCAUACCAGAAGACAAACUCACAUGAAUACUGUGUGUCUCAGUAUCCAGUAGUUUAUAUAUAUUUAUGAUAUGAUACUUAUAAAUUUUCUGUGUAUAUGUAUUUAUACAGAUGAUUUUCAGGUAAUUUCCUGUAUUUGAUACAUUCUGUUUAUAUAAAAAAUUCUUUAAGAGAUAAAUUAAAUACUAGGACACCACUCAUCCUGGAUUAAAGUUUAUUUGUGUCACUAGGAUGAAUUGCUUAGAAUUCUGCAGCUUGCUUAUAAUCACUGACCAUUCCUAUGCGUGAAAGUCUCACCACCUCAUCUUCAACCAGAAAAGAUCUUCCAUACUUGAAGGUCUUUGAGCCUGCACUUUCAAUUAAGAGCAUGCAUUUACUUCCUCAGGAAAUUGAUUCACAUGCUAGAGUCACUCAUAUUCCUAAAGGCUACAAGUUCUGCCUUGGAAGACACACAAAAUCUCAAGC
rnacentral:lncRNA from 1 species